rnacentral:rRNA from 1 species
CAUGUAGGUGGAUACUUAAGUCUGUUGUGAAAAAUGCGGGGGCUCAACCCCCGUAUUGCGAUGGAAGCUGGGUGUCUUGAGUGCAGGAGAGGAAAGGGGAAUUCCCAGUGUAGCGGUGAAAUGCGUAGAUAUUGGGAGGAACACCAGUGGCGAAGGCGCCUUUCUGGACUGUGUCUGACACUGAGAUGCGAAAGCUAGGGGAGCGAACG